rnacentral:lncRNA from 1 species
GACGCUUCUUGGCUUGCUUCCAUUCGCUACGUAGCGACCUGUCAGAUUGUCAGUCGCUACGUAGCGACCUGUAAGUCCUCAAAGGGUUCUUCCUUUGCGUUCUCCUUUGAAUCCUGUUCAAAAUGCUUUUCGUUUCGUUUCAAUCGGAGUUUCCGUUGAGAUUUUACGACGAAAACAAGUGGGACUCGUCUCGGCUCCCUUCCACUCGCUAUAGCGACCGAGAUGACAUCCUCACUCGCUAUAGCAACCUGUCAGGCCUCAAAGGGCUCCUCCUUUGCGUUCUCCUUUGAAUUCUCAUCGAAACGCUUUUGGUUUCGUCUCAAUCGGAGUUUCCGUUGAGAUUUUACGACAAAAACAAGUAAACCUCAUCCAAAACUCCUUGGCUUGUUUCUGCUCACCCUACCUCCAUCUUUGCGUUCACUUUCGAAUCUCGAUCGAAACGUCUCUUGUUUCGCCUCGAUUGAAGUUACCAUUGAGACUUUACGAUAUAAAAAAAAAAACCGCAAAGACCUAUUUUCUCGCAUGGAUUCAGAUUAAUCGUAUAAAACGGGAAAUGGUUAGCUUAACAUCUUAGCC